AGCUACAGCCACAGCUGGUGGGGAAAUGAGGGCACAGAAAACAGGAGAUUUUAUCCUAAGUGGACCUGGAUGCACAAUCCAUCCCCUUCAGAACCUCAGGGCCAUGGGACAGUGGCUGUGACAUCUCCAGUCUGCCCUGGCUGCUCAGGCACCAACAUCAGCCAAAAGGGUCUCAAGGAAACGGGACAAAGAAACUGGUUUUACUGUUGUGAUGUUCCUGUGGUGCUGUUCUCCCUCUGGGCAGUGAUGCACAGCAGGGACUUAUCCAGAUGAUCUGAGGAGGAGCCACCUCACCAAUGUGAGACUGUAAGAGCUUCUUCACCCUGUUUUGGUGCAAGUUCCUGGGCUGGUAUCUCUGCACAUGUUGCUCAUCAAACACCCCAACUGUCCUCAGUAACAUUGCUGCUGUCAACCAGCCAGUAACCUCUGCUCUGGCCAUCAAACAUCACCACUAAAAGUUCAAGACAGAAUGGAAUAAACUGAGACACGGAGCCACAACUAAACCUGGAGUCAGGCAGUGCAAAAGAGCUGGAAUGAGCCCCAGAUACCAGUCCUUGGACCACCCAGUGGAAAAGGAGAGUCAAUUGGCUGCUAGCAGGCUCACAGCCUCUCCUGGUGCUACCAGGUCCUGCUGGUGCCAACAGGAGUGGA